rnacentral:lncRNA from 1 species
UGUAUUUUGUCAAUCAUGAGUGUUAUGUUGUGGUUUAAACAUGAGGUUGCUUCUUGGAUUUGCCUCAUGGGAUAUUCUAAGUAAGUUUUUCUCACUUGGUAGGAUUUUGGAGGUGUUAGACAUGACAAACAUCAGGGGGCAACAAGUUGCAUGAGCAUCUGCAUGGUCAUGCAGUCACUCAGGCACAUUCAGACUUAACCAAGAAAGGGGGAUAGCAAGGUGCAUGACCAUCUGUAUGGUCAUACAUAUGGUUAAAAAAAAUUAUUUUUGGGGCAACAAAUGGCAUGGGCAGCUGCAUGCCCAAACAGUUGAGAAAAAAAUUAUUAUUAGAAAAAAACAAAAAAAUUAAAUGAAAACUCAGCUACCUCUUUUUCAUCUAUUUCUCUUGAAUAAAUCUUGGCUUCAAUUGAAAUGUUAACUAUUAAUGCAAAUGCUAAGUUUGAAGAACUUUUAGGUAUCAUCCAUAGCCAUGGUGAUCGUCUGGAUAGAACUGAGCAACGAUUGGAUGAUUCCAUAUCAGAGGAAAACCGAGAACAUUCUUUCCAAUCACAUUAGUAGAGAUUACAAGUAUCUUGUCCUCAGAAAACAAAUUUUAGGGAGUAUUCUACACUUUUAUAUUUCAAUCUUUAUCAUCUCCUUUGAUUAUUCUUUUUAACAUUAAGGAUAAUGCUUAUUUUAAAAGUGUGGGGUGGGGUAAUUGAAAAUUUUGUAAAUCCAUACAUAUUUAGCAUUUUACUUGUCAAACUUGAGUUUGUUGCUGAAUUGUUGAACUUAUGUGUUGGAGAACUAUGAUGUGAUAGUUAAAAUCCUUUAUUUCAAUCUUGUAGGUCUAGUACAUUCCAUGGACUUUAUUUUUAUUCUAAGUGACUUAAAUUUUCUGAAAGCUUUUAAAUAUAUUGUAUUAUAUUGAUAUAGUGAUUAAUCUUGUGAAUGUUGUAAGUUAUAUUAGUUCUACUUUUUACUAACUUUUAUGUUCCUUAUACUUUCAUAGUUGUCCCUAUUUUCUCCAAAAAAAAGAGGAAAAAAAAAGAGGCACCAUAACAACUUACUCGCUGAUCACUCAAUUUCACACCACUAAAUGGCAUAACUUAGUAGUUUGGCACUAUGUUAGCUUAACCAGAAGUCUCAAGUUUGAGCCCUGGGAAUGUAACUACCUUUUGUAGGGAGAGCUUACUUCUUAGUGGACCAAUUUGGCUAAAAAAUAAAAUGAUGAUUACGAGUAGAACUAGUAGCAAAAAAAAAAAAACUUACUCCACUGAUCACUCAAUUUUACACCACCAAGUGGCAUAGGUUAGCAAUCUAGCGCUAUGUUAGCUUAACUAGAGGUCUUAAGUUUGAGCCCUAGAAAUACAGCUUCCUUUGGUAGGGAGGGCUUACUCCUUAAUGGACUGAUUUGGCCGAAAAAGAAAAUGGUGGCUAAGAGUAGAGCUAGUAGCCAACUAGAGUUAUGACUAACUGAGUAAUUGGGUGUUGGGAUCACCAAUGUCUACCCUCGCAUCAAAAGGUUAGAUGAACUCCAGGCAAGCCAAUAAGGUGCUAAAUAUAUAUAUAAUCAAAAUAAAUAAAAAGGGUCAAUUUUGGAGAUUAUAGGGCAUUAUUGUUAAUGAUUUGUAAUUCUUAUAUGCUUAUGGAUGUAUGAGGCUUUUCUUUUAUGUUCAUAUAAUUUUUUCAUUCUCUAGCUUUCAUUUAAUUGAGUUUCUACGGAAUUUUGUUGAUUGAUGUUGAGUAUGAGACCUAUGUUAUUGAAUUUAAGAGUUUAAUUAUUGUGUUAAGAUGAUUCUUCAUUUUGGUUUAAUUUUAACUUUACUCAAGGAUGAACAUAGAGCUAAGUGUAAGGUGUUUGAUAAUGGUGUAUUUUAUAUGUAAUCAAAAUUAUUUUUAAUUUAGUUUUUGUUGGUUUUGAGUAAUUUUCAUUAGUCUUUCAUUUAAUUUUAGGUUAUUUAGUCACUCUACUUUAUUUUAUGAAUUUUAAG